UACGUAGGGGGCAAGCGUUAUCCGGAUUUAUUGGGCGUAAAGAGCUCGUAGGCGGCCGAUCGCGUCGGAUGUGAAAGCUCAGGGCUUAACCCUGAGACGCCAUUCGAUACGGAUCGGCUAGAGGUAGGUAGGGGAAAGUGGAAUUCCUGGUGUAGCGGUGAAAUGCGCAGAUAUCAGGAGGAACACCGGUGGCGAAGGCGGCUUUCUGGGCCUUACCUGACGCUGAGGAGCGAAAGCUGGGGGAGCGAACAGGAUUAGAAACCCCCGUAGUCC
rnacentral:rRNA from 1 species